rnacentral:rRNA from 1 species
UGAGGAAUAUUGGUCAAUGGGCGAAAGCCUGAACCAGCCAUGCCGCGUGAAGGAAUAAGGCCCUAUGGGUCGUAAACUUCUUUUGUAUCGGAGCAAUAAGGGUCACGAGUGACCCGAUGAGAUUACGAUACGAAUAAGCCACGGCUAACUACGUGCCAGCAGCCGCGGUAAUACGUAGGUGGCAAGCGUUGUCCGGAUUUACUGGGUGUAAAGGGCGUGUAGCCGGGUCUGCAAGUCAGAUGUGAAAUCCAUGGGCUUAACCCAUGAACUGCAUUUGAAACUGUGGAUCUUGAGUGCUGGAGGGGCAAUCGGAAUUCCUAGUGUAGCGGUGAAAUGCGUAGAUAUUAGGAGGAACACCAGUGGCGAAGGCGGAUUGCUGGACAGUAACUGACGGUGAGGCGCGAAAGUGUGGGGAGCAAACAGGAUUAGAUACCCUGGUAGU